AGAGUUUGAUCCUGGCUCAGGAUGAACGCUAGCUACAGGCUUAACACAUGCAAGUCGAGGGGCAGCAUGUUGGUUGCUUGCAACCAAUGAUGGCGACCGGCGCACGGGUGAGUAACGCGUAUCCAACCUACCCUUGUCCAUCGGAUAACCCGUCGAAAGGCGGCCUAACACGAUAUGCGGUUCUCAGCAGGCAUCUAACGAGAACGAAAUGUGAAGGAGAAGGAUGGGGAUGCGUCUGAUUAGCUUGUUGGCGGGGUAACGGCCACCAAGGCGACGAUCAGUAGGGGUUCUGAGAGGAAGGUCCCCCANAUUGGAACUGAGACACGGUCCAAACUCCACGGAGCA
rnacentral:rRNA from 1 species